GGCGUGCUUAACACAUGCAAGUCGAGCGGAGAUAAAUUGAAAGCUUGCUUUUAAUUUAUCUUAGCGGCGGACGGGAGAGUAACGUGUGGGCAACCUGCCUCAUACAGAGGGAUAAUCAUGUGAAAACGUGACUAAUACCGCAUGUCGUUUCAGGAGGGCAUCCUCCUGAAAGAAAAGGAGCAAUCCGGUAUGAGAUGGGCCCGCAUCUGAUUAGCUAGUUGGUGAGAUAACAGCCCACCAAGGCGACGAUCAGUAGCCGACCUGAGAGGGUGAUCGGCCACAUUGGGACUGAGACACAGCCCAAACUCCUACGGGAGGCAGCAGUGGGGAAUAUUGCACAAUGGGGGAAACCCUGAUGCAGCAACGCCGCGUGAAGGAAGACGGUUUUCGGAUUGUAAACUUCUAUCAAUAGAGGACGAAGAAAGUGACUGUACCUAAAUAAGAAGCCCCGGCUAACUACGUGCCAGCAGCCGCGGUAAUACGUAGGGGGCAAGCGUUAUCCGGAAUUACUGGGUGUAAAGGGUGAGUAGGCGGCAUGGCAAGUAAGAUGUGAAAGCCCGAGGCUUAACCUCGGGAUUGCAUUUUAAACUGCUAAGCUAGAGUACAGGAGAGGAAAGCGGAAUUCCUAGUGUAGCGGCGAAAUGCGUAGAUAUUAGGAAGAACACCAGUGGCGAAGGCGGCUUUCUGGACUGGAAACUGACGCUGAGGCACGAAAGCGUGGGGAGCGAACAGGAUUAGAUACCGUGGUAGUCCACGCAGUAAACGUAUGAGUGCUAGGUGUCGGAGGGGAACCUUCGGUGCCGCAGCAAACGCAAUAAGCACUCCACCUGGGGAGUACGAUCGCAAGAUUGAAACUCAAAGGAAUUGACGGGGGCCCGCACAAGCGGUGGAGCAUGUGGUUUAAUUCGAAGCAACGCGAAGAACCUUACCAAGUCUUGACAUCCACGAAGAGCCGUUAUAGAGAUACACCUUUUUUUCGGAACGUUGGAGACAGGUGGUGCAUGGUUUUGUUCAGUUCGUGUCGUGAGAUGUUGGGUUAAGUCCCGCAAGGAGCCCAACCUUUUUCUUUAGUAGCCAGCAGUAAGAUGGGCACUCUAAAGAGACUGCCGUGGAUAACACGGAGGAAGGUGGGGAUGACGUCAAAUCAUCAUGCCCCUUAUGUCCUGGGCAACACACGUGCUACAAUGGACGGAACAAAGAGAAGCGAGAUUGCGAAAGCGAGCAAAGCACAAAAACCCGUUUUCAGUUCGGAUUGUAGUCUGCAACUCGACUACAUGAAGCUGGAAUCGCUAGUAAUUGCGAAUCAGAAUGUCCCGGUGAAUACGUUUCCGGGCCUUGUACACCCCGCCCGUCACCCCCUGGGAGUUGGAAGCACCAGAAGCCUGUGACCUAACCGAAAGGGAGGAGCAGUCCAAGGUGAAACCAGUGACUGGGG
rnacentral:rRNA from 1 species